GUGAACGCUGGCGGUAGGCCUAACUCCUGCAAGUCGCACGGCAGCACAGUAAGAGCUUGCUCUUACGGGUGGCGAGUGGCGGACGGGUGAGGAAUACAUCGGAAUCUACUUUUUCGUGGGGAUAACGUAGGGAAACUUACGCUAAUACCGCAUACGACCUACGGGUGAAAGCACGGGAUCUUCGGACCUUGCGCGAUUGAAUGAGCCGAUGUCGGAUUAGCUAGUUGGCGGGGUAAAGGCCCACCAAGGCGACGAUCCGUAGCUGGUCUGAGAGGAUGAUCAGCCACACUGGAACUGAGACACGGUCCAGACUCCUACGGGAGGCAGCAGUGGGGAAUAUUGGACAAUGGGCGCAAGCCUGAUCCAGCCAUACCGCGUGGGUGAAGAAGGCCUUCGGGUUGUAAAGCCCUUUUGUUGGGAAAGAAAAGCAGCAGGUUAAUACCCCGCUGUUCUGACGGUACCCAAAGAAUAAGCACCGGCUAACUUCGUG
rnacentral:rRNA from 1 species